UGGGGGAUAUUGCACAAUGGGCGAAAGCCUGAUGCAGCGACGCCGCGUGGGGGAUGAAGGCUUUCGGGUUGUAAACCUCUUUCGCUAUCGAACAAGGCCCGCUUAGGGUGGGUUGAGGGUAGGUGGAGAAGAAGCGCCGGCUAACUACGUGCCAGCAGCCGCGGUAAUACGUAGGGCGCGAGCGUUGUCCGGAAUUAUUGGGCGUAAAGGGCUUGUAGGCGGCUUGUUGCGCCUGCUGUGAAAACGCGGGGCUUAACUUCGCGCGUGCAGUGGGUACGGGCAGGCUUGAGUGUGGUAGGGGUGACUGGAAUUCCAGGUGUAGCGGUGGAAUGCACAGAUAUAUGGAGGAACACCGAUGGCGAAGGCAGGUCACUGGGCCAUUACUGACGCUGAGGAGCGAAAGCAUGGGUAGCGAACAGG
rnacentral:rRNA from 1 species